UAAGGGGCCCAAAGAACCCCAAACACACCAGACCCCAUCUGAUCUUGGAAGCUAAGCAAAGUUAGCUCUGUUUAGUACAUGGAUGGGAGACCACCACUCAAUUCCAGGUGCUAUAG
rnacentral:rRNA from 1 species